rnacentral:rRNA from 1 species
GUGGAGUGAUCUGUCUGCUUAAUUGCGUUUCACUAAGGGCCCAUAAAUUCAAGGUAUGUUAGCAAAUGCUGCUCUAUUGACCCCUAAUAGGCUUAACUGUCUUUAGCGCGUGUCUCUACGAGUUCUUUAAAGCACUGCGCAUGCUGUUGGGUCCUGAAAGCAACGAACGUGACCGCAACGUCUUGUUGCCUCUCUAUAAUACCUUCUUAUUUUUAAUAAGAGUAUUUACCUGAGGCUAUUUUAAAACUAGACGGACCGCUGUUUCUUUCUUAAACCAGAGGAAGGUUGCGGCAAUAACAGGUCUGUGAUGCCCUUAGAUGUUCCGGGCUGCACACGUGCUACAAUGAUCAGUACAGUGAGCAUCUCAAUUUUAUAACACCGUAUUAAGCGCUUGGGUCGUAAUUGUUAGGCCUUUUAGGUUUUUUCAAUUGCGUUUCUCCAAUGCGCACGGUAAAGCCUGCUUCGAGAGUAAGUGGGUAAUCCAUUGGAAGUAAUGAUUUCCUUAUUUUUAUAAACAGCACACCAAUAUACGGCAUUCAUUCCCGAGACGGCUUAGUUCCGACUUUGUGCGAAUGUAAUGUAUUCUUAUCCGUAUGUGCGAUUGUCAAUUCAUGGUGGGGACAGACC